UUUGACCAUCCCUUUUACUUGCAGGUUCAUCUUCAAGCAGCAGAAGCUGUGGUUGGACUGGUCCCUGGUCCUGCUGAUUGCGACAGCUGUGCUCAUCACCUACUCAGCUGUGCUGCUGGUGAGCCCUGCCGAUUGCCCCUGGGUUGGCAGGGGUAUGGAUCAGUGCUGGGCAUGAGCCAGCUGGAGCCUGAAGACCCUGUCCUUGCUUUGUGCUUGCAGAUUUGUGGCCAGCCCUUGAAGCUGCACUGGUUGCACAAGAUCCUGCUGAUCAUAACUGCCCUCGUGGUGGCUGCAGCCUUCACAGGGCUGGGAAUAAAGUGGGCGGAGGAGUGGAGAAGUGCACGCAUCUCCCUGCAGGUGAGUUGGCUUGUCACCAGGGACUUCCCUACUGUCCUAUUGUGGAGGCUUGUGGGGAUGAGAUGCAGGAUGGUGCCUCGGCUUCCCAGCAUGGUUGCGUGCCAUGGGGGCUAAGCCUUAUUCUAGCUUGGUCUGUGCAGUCCUGCCUGGAGCAGCUGCAGUCAGGGUGGUGGGACUAGAGGGGUACCUUGUCCUUCUCUCCCUGGCAUUGUGGCUGUUCCAGUGGUGCUGGCUGUAGUGGUAGGUCCCUGCUAUUGGAUUUUGAGGGCAGGGGCUGGGCUUGUGCUGUCUGACACCCUGCCUUUGCCUUCCCAGGCAACAGGUCCUUUCCUGCACAUUGGAAUUGUGGGAGGGAUGACGCUCCUCGCCUGGCCAUUG
rnacentral:lncRNA from 1 species